AUAGGACUACUCUCUAUCAAGAUCGAUAGAUUCCAUCUUGAUGCACACCCUACUACAGUGGAUCAACUGUCGUCAAAUCCACCACAAGGGCUCAUUGAGACCUAUGUUUAUGUGUCAAUCAAACUCCAACAGCCUCAUUAUGAGUAGUAGUACUAUCUCAGAUAAAAAAAUCAGUCACACAACUAUAGCAUCGAGAUAAUCACUGACGAUUGAAUAGAAAUCUAAGUGAUCUCUCAUAUGGUCAUGCUCAGU
rnacentral:lncRNA from 1 species